AGUGCCGCCCGGCCUCGGUUGGGACCCCUCCCCUCCUCCUCCGCCCCCUUGGGUGUCGGUGGCUGCGGCCAGGGUCUGGACCUGGGCGGCGGCCCCGGGCGGCGGGGCUAAAGGGUGUGGGCACCGGCAGAGCUUCGCAGGCUGCAUCCGGCUCGGUGCUGCUGCCGUCGCCGCCCCUGCCGCCGCCCAAGGCCCUCGGCGUUCCCCGGAGAGAGGCCAGAGGGAUUUCGGGCUGCCUCGGCACUCGCCCAGGUUUGUUAAGAUGAAACACUGCAGAAAGGCUAUCUGAAGAAAAGUAGAAGGAAAAACAGAACGUUGCAAACUCUGGAAAAAAACUUGGUCCCAGCUACUCGGGAGGCUGAGGCAGGAGAAUCGCUUGGACCCGGGAGGCGGAGGUUGCAGUGAGCCAGAUCGUGCCACUGCACUCCAGCCUGGGCAACAGAGUGAGACUCUGUCCCAAAAAAAAAAAAAAGUUUUUAUUUUACUUAUUGUAAGGAAUGAAAUACAUUUUAAUCGUUGUUUACUGCCAUGGACUUUAUUGUUUUUUAGCUUUCACUUUGUUGUUGAAUUGAUUUUUUCUUUAAGAAUAUUAAUAAAAGUAGCUUAGCUA
rnacentral:lncRNA from 10 species